rnacentral:rRNA from 2 species
UUUAGCGCGGUGGUCCCACCUGACCCCAUGCCGAACUCAGAAGUGAAACGCCGUAGCGCCGAUGGUAGUGUGGGGUCUCCCCAUGUGAGAGUAGGGAACUGCCAGGCA